AUUGAACGCUGGCGGCAGGCCUAACACAUGCAAGUCGAACGGUAACAGGAAACAGCUUGCUGUUUCGCUGACGAGUGGCGGACGUGUGAGUAAUGUCUGGGAAACUGCCUGAUGGAGGGGGAUAACUACUGGAAACGGUAGCUAAUACCGCAUAACGUCGCAAGACCAAAGAGGGGGACCUUCGGGCCUCUUGCCAUCGGAUGUGCCCAGAUGGGAUUAGCUAGUAGGUGGGGUAACGGCUCACCUAGGCGACGAUCCCUAGCUGGUCUGAGAGGGUGACACGCCAAAAUGGAAAUGAGAAAAGGUCCAGAAUCCCAAGGGGGGGAGCAGGGGGGAAAAUUUGGCAAAGGGGGGAAGCCUGAAGGAGCAAAGCCGCGGGGGAGAAAAAGGGCUUUGGGGUGUAAAAAUCUUUUAAGGGGGGAGAAAGGAAGUAAAGUUAAAACUGUAACUCUUGAAGGUAACCCACAAAAAAACCACGGCUAAAUCCGGG
rnacentral:rRNA from 1 species